UACGGGGGGGGCAAGCGUUGUUCGGAAUUACUGGGCGUAAAGGGCCCGUAGGUGGCCAACUAAGUCGGACGUGAAAUCCCUCGGCUUAACCGGGGAACUGCGUCCGAUACUGGUUGGCUUGAGUUUGGGAGAGGGAUGCGGAAUUCCAGGUGUAGCGGUGAAAUGCGUAGAUAUCUGGAGGAACACCGGUGGCGAAGGCGGCAUCCUGGACCAAUACUGACGCUGAGGAGCGAAAGCCAGGGGAGCAAACGGG
rnacentral:rRNA from 1 species